AUAAGCUUGAAACGGUUGCGAAAUGGUCUCUUACUAGUCCCAAAAUAAUUCCGAACUAGUCUCGAAAUUCGUGGACUAGCCCCGAAAUGAACCUGAACAGGUCUCAAA